UCGAGCGGAUGACGGGAGCUUGCUCCUUGAUUCAGCGGCGGACGGGUGAGUAAUGCCUAGGAAUCUGCCUGGUAGUGGGGGACAACGUUUCGAAAGGAACGCUAAUACCGCAUACGUCCUACGGGAGAAAGCAGGGGACCUUCGGGCCUUGCGCUAUCAGAUGAGCCUAGGUCGGAUUAGCUAGUUGGUGGGGUAAUGGCUCACCAAGGCGACGAUCCGUAACUGGUCUGAGAGGAUGAUCAGUCACACUGGAACUGAGACACGGUCCAGACUCCUACGGGAGGCAGCAGUGGGGAAUAUUGGACAAUGGGCGAAAGCCUGAUCCAGCCAUGCCGCGUGUGUGAAGAAGGUCUUCGGAUUGUAAAGCACUUUAAGUUGGGAGGAAGGGCAGUAAGUUAAUACCUUGCUGUUUUGACGUUACCGACAGAAUAAGCACCGGCUAACUCUGUGCCAGCAGCCGCGGUAAUACAGAGGGUGCAAGCGUUAAUCGGAAUUACUGGGCGUAAAGCGCGCGUAGGUGGUUCGUUAAGUUGGAUGUGAAAGCCCCGGGCUCAACCUGGGAACUGCAUCCAAAACUGGCGAGCUAGAGUACGGUAGAGGGUGGUGGAAUUUCCUGUGUAGCGGUGAAAUGCGUAGAUAUAGGAAGGAACACCAGUGGCGAAGGCGACCACCUGGACUGAUACUGACACUGAGGUGCGAAAGCGUGGGGAGCAAACAGGAUUAGAUACGCCUGGUAGUCCACGCCGUAAACGAUGUCAACUAGCCGUUGGAAUCCUUGA
rnacentral:rRNA from 1 species